UCCUCCCUCUUUCUUCGUGCUUAACACAUGCAAGUCGAACGGAAAGGCCUGCUUUCCCUUGUGGAUUGCGGGUACUCGAGUGGCGAACGGGUGAGUAACACGUGAGUGAUCUGCCCCCAACUUGGGUAUAAGCCUGGGAAACUGGGUCUAAUUCCCGAUAGGACUGCAGGGUGGUGCCUGUGGUGGAAAACGAUUUUCUAGUGGUUGGGGAUGAGCUCGCGGCCUAUCAGCUUGUUGGUGGGGUAAUGGCCUACCAAGGCGGCGACGGGUAGCCGGCCUGAGAGGGUGGACGGCCACAUUGGGACUGAGAUACGGCCCAGACUCCUACGGGAGGCAGCAGUGGGGAAUAUUGCACAAUGGGCGGAAGCCUGAUGCAGCGACGCCGCGUGGGGGAUGACGGCCUUCGGGUUGUAAACUCCUUUCGACCGCGAGGAAGCCACCUGGUUGGAAGGGUGGUGACGGUAGUGGUAGAAGAAGCACCGGCUAACUACGUG
rnacentral:rRNA from 1 species